GUUGCUGUGAUGAACCUUAACAUAUAAGAAGAUUCACCAUUCAAUAUAAGGUUUCAUCUUCAAUAUGAUGUACUUGUUACGCUUGGCUUCCGAGCUCG
rnacentral:snoRNA from 2 species